AGAGCGUGAAGCUAUUCAAGCAGUUAGUUGUUACCUAACCAAAAGUGGAACACAUUCACCCGCCCUA
rnacentral:tRNA from 1 species